rnacentral:piRNA from 1 species
AAUGGAGAAAGAAUCCGGAAGUCAGACAG